AUUGAACGCUGGCGGCAGGCUUAACACAUGCAAGUCGAGCGAGCGGCGGACGGGUGAGUAAUGUAUGGGACACUGCCUGAUGGAGGGGGAAAACUACUGGAAACGGUAGCUAAUACCGCAUACCAUCAGAUGUGCCCAGAUGGGAGUAGCUAGUAGGUGGGGUAAUGGCUCACCUAGGCGACGAUCCCUAGCGGGCCUGAGAGGGUGAACGGCCACAUUGGAACUGAGACACGGUCCAGACUCCUACGGGAGGCAGCAGUGGGGAAUAUUGCACAAUGGGCGCAAGCCUGAUGCAGCCAUGCCGCGUGUGUGAAGAAGGCCUUCGGGUUGUAAAGCACUUUCAGCGAGGAGGCGUUACUCGCAGAAGAAGCACCGGCUAACUCCGUGCCAGCAGCCGCGGUAAUUC
rnacentral:rRNA from 1 species